rnacentral:rRNA from 1 species
UACGUAGGUGGCGAGCGUUGUCCGGAAUUACUGGGUGUAAAGGGCGUGUAGGCGGGAUGAUAAGUCAGAUGUGAAAUACCAGGGCUCAACUCUGGGGCUGCAUCUGAAACUAUGAUUCUUGAGUGCCGGAGAGGAAAGCGGAAUUCCCAGUGUAGCGGUGAAAUGCGUAGAUAUUGGGAGGAACACCAGUGGCGAAGGCGGCUUUCUGGACGGUAACUGACGCUGAGGCGCGAAAGCGUGGGGAGCAAAC